rnacentral:rRNA from 1 species
CCUACGGGGGGCAGCAGUAGGGAAUAUUGCACAAUGGGCGAAAGCCUGAUGCAGCAACGCCGCGUGAGUGAAGAAGGCCCUUGGGUCGUAAAGCUCUUUAGCCUGGAAAGAAGUGCCCUUAAGUGAAUAAUUUGAGGGUGUGACGGUACCAGGAGAAUAAGGUCCGGCUAAUUUCGUGCCAGCAGCCGCGGUAAUACGAAAGGACCAAGCGUUACUCGGAAUCACUGGGCGUAAAGCGCGCGUAGGCGGUCUUGUAUGUCGAUUGUGAAAUCCCCGGGCUCAACCUGGGAACUGCAGUCGAAACUGCAAGACUUGAAUGUUGGAGAGGUUGGGGGAAUACCUAGUGGAGAAGUGAAAUUCGUAGAGAUUAGGUGGAACACCAGAGGCGAAGGCGCCUGACUGGCCAAACAUUGACGCUGAGGCGCGAAAGCGUGGGUAGC